CGUAAAUUUUCGACAAAUCGAUGUCAAUGUUCAUAAGAACCAAAACCGGAACAACAUUAGGCUACUCAGUUGCGCCCUAACAGUAUAAAUUGGCAACGAGGGCUUUUUCUCAUUCUAUCGAACGAAGAGUAAAAAAUGUGUCGGUUCUAUUAUGCCCCGAGAGGGUAAAUUAGAUGUCCACAUUCACAAGAACGAAAACCGGAACAACAUUAAGCUACUCAAUUGCGGCCAAACAGCAUAAAUUUGGAACGAGUAAUUUUUCUCAUUCAAUCGAACAAAGAGUAAUACCUAAUUAAAAUGUUCUAUUAUGCCCCGAGAGGGUAAAUUAGAUAUCCACGUUCACAAGAACGAAAACCGGAACAACAUUAGACUACUCAAUUGCGCCCUAACAGUAUAAAUUUGCAACGUGUACUUUUUCUCAUUCAUUCAAACAAAGAGUAAAACCUAAUUAAAAUGUUCUAUUAUGCCCUGAGAGGGUAAAUUAGAUGUCCACGUUCACAAAACGAGAACCGGAACAACAUUAGGCUACUCAAUUGCGCCCUAACAUUAUAAAUUUGCAACGAGUACUUUUUCUCAUUCAAGCGAAUAAAGAGCAAAACCUAAUUAAAAUAUUCUAUUAUGCCCCGGGGAGGUAAAUUAGAUGUCCACGUUCACAAGAACGAAAACCGGAACAACAUUAAGCUACUCAAUUGCGGCCAAACAGUAUAAAUUUGGAACGAGUACUUUUUCUCAUUCAACCGAAUAAAGAGUAAUACCUAAUUAAAAUGUUAUAUUAUGCCCCGAGAGGGUAAAUUAGAUAUCCACU
rnacentral:lncRNA from 1 species